GCCCGUUUUCUGGGAGAAGUUUCUGUUCAAAUUGAGCAGAUACUCACUCUAAUCUUCGAGAAUUUCAAGUAACUUGAUGAAUCAUCGAUGUCGGGUAUUAAAGAUGUAUUCGGACCUGCAACAGGAUUGGCUGCACCUGCACUUGAUCCAGCUUUGAAGCUCUACAAAUGGUUGCAUGAUAUUCUUUCCCCGAGAUUGCUACGAGAAAAAGGUCAAUCAGGCACUUGUUUGAAAUUGAUGAGUUCUUUUCGACUAAUAACGAAAACAUGUUAUUGGAUCCCGUGGCUGUCUCCACAGCAUAUAUGAAAGGAAAAACUAUUGCAUGGGUCUCAAGUUUUCUGCAGAUGUGAAGGUAGC